GUUUGGUUUCUUCCAGAUUCCGGAUUCCACAGAUGUCUCCCUUCGAAAAAAGGAAGCGGUGGCCUGACUGGGUUAUUUAUGCGUGUGGCCUCAUACAGUAUCUGCCUUUGUUCCACAGAGCAGCAGCCUAAAGACCUGCUGGGAAGGGGCACUGUGUGCUCAGCGGCUCGCACAGGAAAUUGGAAAUCGGAGACACCGGGAUUGACCCACCCCCUCCUCUGACUCAUGCUUAAACAAACCCAACACACCCCCGACCUUUGCUCCCCGCAUCUGCAGCAGGUCUUACACACCAGCAGCUCCCUCUCCCACCUUUGCUGGCACAGGGCUCACUGGCUCACUGAAGGAAUACACUGUAGCUGUCUUCAGACACACCAGAAGAGGGCAUCGGAUCCCGUUACAGAUGGUUGUGAGCCACCCUGUGGUUGCUGGGAAUGGAAUUCAGGACCUCUGGGAGAGCAGUCGGUGCUCUUAACCACUGAGCCGCCACCUCUGCAGCCAUUUUUUAAAGCUCUUCACCUCAUCUUUGGAAACAGGGUCUCCUGCCGCAUGUGAAGCUCCCUGACUGACCACACCGGAUGGAAUCACAGGAUUCACACCUCUAUCCCUGUCAGGGCUGGAGUUACAGAUGCAUACCACCACCCGGGUAGUUUAAGUGGGCACUGGGGAUCAGAACUUGGGUCUUUACGCUUGUACGGCAAGCGUUUGUCGGUCUCACCCAGAGUUGCUGCCCGUCUUCGUCCCCCGAGGGGCAGGUCACCUCAAGAGCGCUCGUGUGGCCCAAGCCUGUCAGUCUUGGGAAGCUGAUACUCAGAUCCGUUGCUCUUUCCCCUGUUCUUAAGGGUGGCUCACCCCAGCUCUGCUUUCUGAGAAAACAAGGCUGAACUUUGCUCAGCCAAAGCCUAAUUUCCCUGAGGUCUGCUGUUUUGUUUGCCAGCCCUCCUCCCUCCAGCUGCUCGACUGUUGACCAGUCUCCCUCACCCUGCUCUCGGCUUCCUCAGCUCCAGCACCUACUUCUUGGAAGGCAGCCAUAUGGGGCCCAGCAGAUGGAACGUAGGCCCGGUGUUGGUGGCUAUGAUCAGCCAGGCCUGACUCCACAACUGAAGUACCCAGGCAGACUCAGUGGAUGAGCUUGGUACCUCUGAGGCCGCUGGGCCAAGCAGAGAUGACAGUGUGGCCCCAGGACUCUAGCAGUCUAGGAUAGCUUUGCCUGACACACACCUUAGGUUCUUUGCAGGAUGUUAGAACGUAAUGGGGGUGGGGAGUCAGACAGACGCAGAGAGAGACAAACAGUGAUAGACACACAAAGAGGAGAGAGACAGAGACAGAGACAGAGACAGAGACAGAGACAGAGACACAUACAGAGAAAGAAUACACAGAGAGAGAAAGAGACAGAGAGAGGUGUUGAUAGGAAACAAAGACAGAGACACAUACAGAGAAAGAAUACACACAGAGAGGGAGAGAGAGAGAGAGAGAGAGAGAGAGAGAGAGAGAGAGCUGAAAGCAAUGAAUGUAAAGACCAGCCAUCAUGAAGAACUGUUUACUUCUGAAGCCAUUGAGUUCUGAAACUCUCUUCAAACUUUCUUCCUCCUCUUUCCCUUCUUCCUCCUUCUCUCUUCUUCCUCCUCUUCCUCUUUUACUUCUUCAUUUCCUCCUCCUUUUCCUUUUAAUUUUCGUUACAUUUUGUUUAUUUGUGUAUACACCACAUGCACUGUCUACGUCUCUGUGUAUCUCUGUGUGUCUCUGUGUGUAGGUCAAAGGAAAACACUCUUCUCCACCUUGAGAAAACACUUGAGGUUUGAACUCAAGUCAGUCUGGCUUGGCUGCACUUUUACUGGCUGAACCAUCUUCACAGCCUCCAACUUUCUAUCUUUAUAUCUUUCCUGUUUCUCUUGGCUUCUCUUUAUUUCCAUAGAAACGACACUGUGGUCUUUUGGUCAUUAUGCCCUUGUAGACUUUGGGGCGAUCCCUCUUAUAUUUUGAGUCCUCUUCGUUUCUGCCACACCCCAAAUUCUAACUGGUUGCUGCUGUGGCUCCCAAGAAUGUCUAGUACAAGGAGACAUAUUCCAUGACAGUUCUGCUGUGUCACCUAAUACCCUUAUACCACCAGUCUCACCUGAGCCACAGAAUGGGCUUUGAUUUUCCAGAAGCACAUUUAUAAUAACUUGAUGUAAUUCCUUUGUUUGUUUCUCGAGACAGGGUUUCUCUGUAUGUAGCCCUGGCUGUCCUAGAACUUACUUUGUAGACCAGUCUGGCCUCAAACUCACAGAGAUCCUCCUGCCUCUGCCUCCCACAUGCUGGGAUUAAAGGCAUACACCAGCAUGCCUGGCAACUUGAUUUAAUUUUUAACAUUUAAGAAAAAAAAAUCAGAAGCCUGGAUUUUUAGUUUAUCCUGCAACACCACUGGGUCAUUGCUCACUCUGUGUUCACUGGCUGAGCCAAAGAGGCGGCUGCCCUUACAUUGCACCCUGUCUGUUCUGAGUGAUCGCUACAUCUAACCAUGCCUCUCUAGGCUUCGGGAUUGGGAACUAGACACACUGAUGAAUGGGAUUAUGGUUCCUUGUCUUGUUUGCAUGUACUAUAGCAUUGGGGAUUAAACCCAAGACCUCACACAUGCUAGGCAAGCACUUUACCACUGAGCUAUAUGCUCAGCCCCGGUUCCUCGUCUUUAAAAACCACCUCACCGGUGGAGUAUCUGACUUUAGUUGUGCCCUGGGUAAGGUAGUGUCUUCCUGGCAAUCAAUUCCCCCACCUCUGAAGACUCACAGACGACCAUGUUUCUCACAGCUACAUCUUGUCCAGGCCUAGCAAGCUCUUUAUAUCUCCAGGAAGCCUUGCCCCAUGCAUUAUUGCAAAAACGGAGGCCACGUGUCCCCCACUACCUAGACUCCUGUCUUUCCUUCCUCCAAGAUCUCUCUUACCCUUCCUACCUCCCCCCUUCCCUUCUUUCUUUCAAGCCUUUUGAAGAUGUAUGAUAAGCAACCCUAAGACAAGGUUUUAAGAUAAUGACCUCUCAUGUCCGUAUCAGCCUGGUCAAGAAUUAGGCUGUUCACCCUGAGCUUCCCCCCUCUCCUCCCAUUCUGACUCCAGAGGAAAAGUCCUUUGAUUUGCUAUGUUGUUCUGCUAUCAAAAUGUGUUCAUAAAUAGAUGCUUAUUGCAAUUUCAUUCCCAAUCGCCACCGGGAGCUGCUAAUACACAGAACUCUGCGGCUCCACUAGCCCCUGGCUUUCGGCCAUGUUGGAUUCCUUCAUGCCACAGCUGAUUUGACCGGACAUCAUGGUAGAUAUUGAUAGAGAUAUACCAGUGUCUCCCACAGUGACUCUGGGGUUAUCUCAGACAGAUGCAUCACUAUUUGCAUAUUUUUGAGGUAAAUGUGUUCAAUUUUAUGGUACAGCCUCGUGGGAAUUGAACUUUGGUUACAAAGAGAUGUUCUUUAUUCCUAGUAAUGCCAUAUUUACUGAGUCGUUAUUUUGUUUUACUUUUUUUAAAAUGUAUUUAUUAUGUAUAUGUACGCUGUAGCUGUCCUCAGACACACCAGAAGAGGGCAUCUGAUCUCAUUACAGAUGGUUGUGAGCCACCAUGUGGUUGCUGGGAAUUGAACUCAGGACCUCUGGAAGAGCAGACAGUGCUCUUAACCACUGAGCCAUCUCUCCAGCCCUUGUUUUACAUGUACAUGCAUAUCUGUGCAGGUAUGCAUGUGUAAGGGCAGUGCCCAUGGGGACCAGAAGAGAGUGGGGUUACAAGCGAGUGAAGCCACGACAGACUGUUUACACGGGGAUUCAAACUCAGAUCCUCAUGUUUGUGCAGCAAGCUCUCUUACCCAUGGAACCAUUUUCAGAGCCCGGAGAGAUGUUGUUUAUGGUUUGCGUUACUCGCACCACUGGUUUGAGUUUCCAAGUGUGCUCUGUUUUUCAGUCUUUAGUUUCGCCCUGACAGACUUCUCACCUUUACUCUCUUAAGCUUUCCUGUCUUUUCUCUCCAAUAGGCCUUCCCUGAUGUGACCUGGAGGUCUUCCUCUUCAAAUUUGCCUAGAAUUGUAAAUCAUUUUCAACCUCUCCCUAGACACUACAGCCUUUCCUACAAACUCAUCCAACCGUCGUCUACACAGAUGCAGCCUGCUUCUUAUUUCUGCAGCCUUCCCUCUUUUCUAACCAUUCAUCUAGACGGUGCUACUUCUGAGGUGAAAAUUCUUGCUAGGACAGUUUAUCGACCCGUGUGUUUCUUUUCUCCCGCUCCAGAUCCACACUGACAAGCUCGGAUCAGUGUCUCGUCCUGAUGGAUUAGCUUGGCCAGGGCGAGUUUACACCUCACUGGAGAAGUGUGAAGAGGGAUGGGGAAUGGAAAAAAAUAGAGACGCAGGAAGAGAUUUAUGAUGUUUUAAACUAUGCAGCCCAGCCGGAACUUUCCAUAAAAACUUUCUCCUCGCUCCGCCUUUUCCUCCCUUUUAUUGCCAGAAUAUCUGAAUGGGCAACCCAAGCUUGCUGCGUCCAUUGCUGAAACACACGCUUGUGUUUAAAUGGUGGUGUGAGAACCACCCGACUUGCCCAAGUAAGGUUUUAAGAAAUAAAACACAACAGGGCCUUGUAUAGCUCAGGGUGGCCUUCGAGCUCUUUUUUUUUUUUUUUUUUUUUUUUUUUGGUAGCUGAGGAUGGUCUUGAACUUUUGAUCCUCCUGCCUCCACUUUCCAAGUAUUAGGAUGACAGGCAUUCUCCACCCUGCCUGGUUUAUGAGGUGCUGGGGACUGAACUCAGGGCUCUAUGUAAGCCAUGUUCUCAGUUCUAUAGCAGGCUUCGCUUGGUCCUUAUCCUGUCUGGUCCUUUGAAGAGUUUGGAUCUCUCUCUCUCUCUCUCUCUCUCUCUCUCUCUCUCUCUCUCUCUCUCUGUUUGAAACUCUCCUGGGUGCUGGGGAGCUUGAGACUCUAGGGUCUCCCAACCUCUCCUUCCUUUCCAUCUUCCUCAUUUUCUUUAAAGGGAGAACUUCCUACAAUUCCUUGGUCCUCUUUUGGCUUCUCUUUCUAUUUCUCGUUAUAGACUCCUCCCAUCACUUCUUUUGACGUUCAGAGCUAGCUUUCUAGCCAGGGCCAUUCAGUAGGGUUCCACUCUUGCCUUUCUCAGCGACUGCUGUUUAUUUCUUCUGUGUGUCCUAGAAGGCCUUCAAAAAUUAUUAUUAAAGUUGAGUUCAUAGUUUCCACCCACAAACUUCCUCUUUCUUGUAAUCCCUCCCCCAGCCCAUGUGUGAGUAUCAUGAUAUAACCCCUGCUCCCAUAUCAGAUACUUUUACUUUUAUAUCUGUAUCUUCAUUCUGUAGACUUCACAGGACUCAUUCAAGUGUCUAAGUUCUAAAAAAACAAAACAAAACAAAACAGAACCUUAAAAUGGAUAUAUGGAAAAAAGAAGUGUAUUUUAGAAACGAGAAACAUGGGUCAAGUCUAGGUCUGUCUAGGACGAGAGGGUACUACGUGCAACACAUACAUGUCUUGAGUUUGUUCUUUCUCAGCCAUAAAGUGAGAGUAAGGCUCACUAACUCACCAGUUUAUUGACAGGAUUAAAUGGUUUACAAAUAUAUACCAUACAUAUUGGAGAUGGUGUCUUCUAAAUAAUAAGGCUCUCCUCAAGUUCACAAUAACCACUUUCCUCAGUCUCCUGAGUGCUGGGAUUACAGGCAUGAUCUACCUCAUUAACGAAAAUGUUGUUUCAGGAUAUUAGCUCCUUAAGAGCAAGGUUCUGUUCUAGUUAAUCAAUAUAGCCGCACGUGCUCACUGAAUAGUGAUUGAAUGAAUAAACGAACACAGCCUAGUUUCCCUAACUCCAUGCCCAAUGGAAAAGGUAAAAGUGUAGUCUGUCUUGUCCUGUUUAAUGUCUCCUGGUUACAAGCCACCUCUAAUUUGAUGUUUUGGUUCUAUUAUUACCUGGUUGAAUGGCUUAACUCCAUAUCCAAUGACUGCUAAGAAGGGAGAAGAACGCACGAACUUCUAAACCCACUCAGCCUUAGCUCGAUGUUGCUCUCCCGCAAGCUGGCACGCCUGGUUAACUGUCUGGUAGUUUAACGGUGGAGACAACUAACUGUCCUUGGCCACCAGCUCCCAUCACCUCUUUUUAUUUUUGCCUAAUGUAUCUAGGUAACUGUUUCAUCUUUCCACCUCUGAUCUUUAUUGAACAGUCUCUUGGGUUCCAGGCAGCCAUCUGGUCUACCCCCGCCCCCACUCUCAUUUUCUGCUUUUUCCUACUUCCUCCUCUUUGGUCUUAAAGGUGGGGGGAUGCUAACUGUUGUUGUCCUGAAAAACUAGCCCUCAUCUGGAAAGCAGCUUUUCUCCAAACACGCAUCAGGCCUGGCACACCUGUCUGCUGGCGUGGACAUGCCAAGCACUUGUCUCCCUCUUGGCCCAUCAGACACAGCUGAAUACGUUUGGCUGACGCACUGGCAAUUUGGUUAUUCAUUUUCUGCUCUCAGCUGAAAGUAGACCACCUGGCCAUAGCUUGGCUCACCCACUUCCCAGUUCUUUUGGCAGAUGGAGCCUGGCAUCCACAGUGUGUUCCCUCUUUUCCCUCCUUUUUCACUCUUCUCCAUUAGGUAAGUCUCGGGGGGGGGGUGUCAGAGAAUAAAUGGAGACAAGGAAUGGGUACCUAAGGUAACAUAGAAUAGUAGAACAAUCUCAAAAUAUUUUCUUCGGGGUAUAGAGACACACCGUCUCAAUGAGCCCACUUUCUGAUUCAUCUAAGAUUUUGAAACAACUACUUUUUUUUUUUUUUGUCUUUACCAUGAUAGACUGAAAACAAAGACACUAAGGAAACAAGAAUGAUGGUUCCUUCUUGGCCAUCCUCUUUGAGGGUGUUAAAGAAGACUGGAGACCCCAUCUUUGUGGUCUUCUUUAGUUUGGGUCCUGUGGUUAGUAUUUCAGAACCCUUUGUCACCCUUGGCUACAUAGUAAAGCUAGCUUGGGCUACCUGAGACUCCGCCUCAAAAGAACCACAACAAAUUAAUAAUAAUAAUAAUAAUAAUAAUAAUAAUAAUAAUAAUAACCUGGAAUGAGGCUGUGCAUGGUGUCUGCACCAUCCUGCCCACACUGGGCUCAUCUUUUGCUGCUUUGCCUUGAAUCAAAACUUCUGUCAGAAACAGCGCCACCUUCCUGGAGACAGUGAAAGCACCCCAUGAUGACCACAGUCAGUAACUGUGUCAAGAUGACAUCAAAGGCCUUUUGUUCUUCUACUCCAGGCACUGAAUGACCACCAUAAAACCUGAAACUUUAGGGGAAAAGCUUUGACAGGAUAGCCCUGCACCAUUCCUCAACUGUGCAGAACACACGCUCAUACCUCCCAAAGGUACCACAACUCUGCCUGGUGACCACCUCAUCCCCCCUCUGAGCCCCUGACACAUCCAGAUUGUCCCCGUCUGAAAUGAAGACCAUAGCUCCCAGAGGACUCCAUAACUUAUUGAACCCAAACACCCUCAGCCCCAUUGCUGGCUUUCAUUGUUCACACAAGGGACAUGACUGGCCUCUUGGCAGAGAUGGGGGCGCAGUGAGUAUUGAAGGAGUCUUUUUUUUUAAGAUUUAUUUAUUUAAUGUAUAUGAGUACACUGUAGCUGUUUUCAGACACACCAGAAGAGGGUAUCCUCUUCAUCACAUCACAGAUGGUUGUGAGCUACACUGUGGUUGCUGGGAAUUGAACUCAGGACCUCUAGAAGGGCAGUCAAUGUUCUUAACUGCUGAGCCAUAUCUCCAGCCUGAAGGAGUCUUUAAUACACAUUCCCUUUCUGCUAUUUGCAUCCAAGUCUAAGCCAUUCUGUCAUUAUUUCCUUUAAUAUAUCUGCAAUAAUCAUGAUAUAAUUAAUUCAAGAUGAAAUAACUAAACUGUCUCAAGGUAUAGUAAAAAUCAGAGCCCUAGACCCUCGACAGUAACUUGGAUCAAAUGGCUGCCUGUAGUGCUAAUGAGUCCUACUGUAAUAAACAUACGUAAUGAUUUCUUUUUUUUUUCCAUCUUUGGAAAAGUUUAAGGGAGAUUAGGAGUCAAGUAGCAUUAGCCCUUAAAAAAAUAGGACUAUCCAAGAAGAGACUAAAAGGUAGAAGUAUGGUUCAGUUAGUAGGGUGCUUGUCUUGUGAGCACAAGGACCUGAGUUCGAUCCCUAGAAUCCAUGUGAAAAAGGAUGAAGACAGCAGAUGAGUGAUGUCUGAGGCCAUUCUAGCUUACAGGUAGUCCAGAUGUCAGCAGCUAUGCUAAUUUACAGGUAGACCAGAUGUCAAUGUCUAUUCUAGCCUACAGGUAGACAAAUGUCAACAGCCAUGCUAGUUUACAGGCAGACCAGAUCAGUGUCCAUUCUAGCCUACAGGUAGACCAGAUAUCUGCAGCCAUGCUAGCUUACAGGUAGAUCAGAUGUCAGCAGCCAUUCUAGCUUAUAGGUAGACCCUGCCCCCAAAACCCUGAGUAAUGACACCCAAGGUCAUUCUAUCUUCCACAUGCAUGUAUACCUACCUACAUACCUACCUACCUACCUACUCAUACAAAAACACAAUUUGGCAGUAGAGAAGAUAAGACUAAGACCUGGGUCUGAUGAGUCUUCCUGGGUUCAAAUUUUUCCUGCUUUUAGGGAAAGCCUCCAUGUAAUCUCUAUUUCUCCAUCUGGUGCUAGAUAUAGAAGCCAAGGCCUUGUAUAUACAAGGCAAUCAAUCCUCUAUCAUUGAACCACAGCUCCAGUCCUAUUCAAAGUCUCUUAAAACUUCCCAUGAACAGAAUCAUGUUUUCCUCUUUUAGGUAUGAUUUGAGCAGGUUGUGCUGAUACAUCCCAGGACCUACGAGGGAGGAUCAAGAGAUCAAGGUCAUGUGACAGCCCAGACCUUUGAACAACUGACCCUGUGAUGCAAGUUCCACGCAGGUUGUACCUCAGCUCAUAGGCAGCACCCCUUGCCAAAACUAAAACAAGGGCCUGGUCCAUUAAAGCCCACAUAUUUCUGGGAAGUCUCUAAAUGUGUUAACUCUGCUUUUUAGCUUCUUGAUAACUGUUUUUGUUAACCAAAGUAUGUCAACCAAGAAUAUGGGUUUUGUGUUUAAAAGCUCACCUAGAGAAAGGCUUAGUACUACACUGGGAUUCUGAACACUUACUGUAGUCAUUGACUGGCCAAUAAAGGCUUUCUAUUGGCUUAAACCCAUGUCCUAGUGUUCUUCUUUGGUGGAUACCCCACAACACUUAUCCUCAGUCGCACAGUGAGUUUGAAGUUAGUCUGAACUAUAUGAGAUUCUGCUUCAAUAAAAAAAGUGAUUUUGAGUAAAAUAUGCUUCAUAGAUUAUUUUUUUACUGAGUCUGUUUUUCUUUUCUUUCUUCCUUCCCUUUUUUUUUUCUUUUCUUUUUUAUUGGAGGAGUGGGGCAGGGUUUCUUUGAGUAGCACUGACUAUUCAGGAAUUCAUUUUGUAGGUUAGGCUGGGCUCAAACUCACAAAGAGCUACCUGGCUCUGCCUCCCGAGUGCUGGGAUUAAAGUGCACCCCUACUGCCUGGCCUUGUUUUAUUUUGAGACAGGCUUCUCUAUUUUGUAGCGCUGGCUGUCUGGAACUUAAUACACAGACCACGCUGGCUACAAAACUCAGAAAGAUCCUUUUGCUUCUGCCUCCCAAGGGCUGAUUAAAAUCAUGGGCCGCCACACCCAACCUCAAUCAACAGUCAGGGAGACAAAUAAACAAGAAAACAUCAUCUGAUCUGGGACUUAAAAUAUCCAACAGAAACUAGAGAAGUUGAGGCCAACAGCUGGAUUUCUGAAUGUGCUUUCUCUGCCUGGUCAAGCUCUGGGCUUCUUCCCACUGUGGGUGUUUUCAUACCAUGGGAUAACCACUAGUUACCUCUGCUGAAAACAGCUUCCUUCUGGCUGUUCUCAAGAGUACAACGUUUUCACUCUUGGGCUGUUUUGUUGAUGUCUUUUCUCACAGAAUUAGAGACCAGUUCUACCCAGAGAAGAGCCUCGGAGGACACCCUGAGACAGAUGUACUGUGUCUGAAAUGGGGAGGUGUCCAUUCUGCUUUCAGAACCAGCUUUUCAGUGAGCUCCCAUUUUCCAACCCCUCCCUCCAGUCUCCUCACCCCCUGUUUCUCACCCUGCAACCUGGAGCCUUUGGACCUAUAAUCAGGAGGUCAUGAGACCUGCAGAGGGAGAAUCCAACAUUCAGAAAGUGAAGAAGCCAUCCUCCAACCUGGGACUGAUAAUUAGAACUUCAGCCUUGUGGGUAGGGACAGGACACCUAGCACCAACAUAAAAACAAUGAUGGUCAGAGGCCAACGUCAGUGUCUUAUUUAAUCAUUAUUCACUCUGUUUAUUUUUUAAAAAAUUAAAUCUAUUUAUUUAUUUGGUAUGUAUGUCAUAUAGGUAACAUGCAGGUAACAUGUAGGUAACAUGUAGGUAACAUGGCAGGCAGGCAUGCCAUGGCACAUGUAUGGAGAUCAGGGGACAAUCAGCUUGGAGACAAGCACCCUUACCUCAUGAGCCAUUUUGCUGAUUCCGCCUUAGUUUUCGAGACAGGACCUUUCCUUGGAGCCAACUUACUCAGUAAGACUAGCUGACCAUCAAGGUUUUUAUGUAGAUGCUGGGUGUCCUCUCCCUACCCACAAGGCUAAAGUUCUAAUUUUAUCAGUCCCACCCUGGGCUGGAGGAUGGGCUUCUAUUCCUUCUGGAAGCCUUUCUGGAAGUCCAUUCUCUCUCUGCAGGUCUCACAGCCUCCGGGACCCAAAGGCUCCAGACUGCAGGGUGAGAGACAGGAGGGGAAGGGGUGAGUGAAAACAGCUAACACAGGCCUCCCUUCCCAUUAGAGUUCCCUGGGUCAGUCAGCAUAGCCCUGUCCACUCCCUGGGGCUCACCUAGCUGGUGGAGACACAUCUCACAUCUUGGAAACAUGACAUUUCCGUCAGUAGGGGUUAGGGAUACAGUGUUGAAGAAAGAUGACGCCCUUUCUCUCCAACAGAAACGGAAAGGUUCAGGCUCCUAGAGUAGCAAUCACAAGCACUAACUGAACCUCUUCCUUUCCCACGACACACCUCUCUCUUUGAUGGAUGGGAGUCAUCUCUCAGCAGCUUUAGAAAGGCUGGUUGGUGAGUCUCAUGGUUUCUUCUGGAUUGAACUUCCCUCGCUGAUUCACGUGUGGUGAUGGCCAAGUGGACUGGACUGGAGCUGCUGAUUCAUGAUUUAGUGUUUGCUACUGAACUGAAUUGCGGAUAUCCUGGCAAUGAAAAUUGGACUUGCCUCCAAAGAACUAUUUGUAGACAGGUCUACCCCCCCUCGCAUCCCCCCCCCCAUGUCCUAAUAACGUUUCUCUUCUACUACCUUGGCAGUUGGAGGGUUAGAGGGGAGGUUAAAUGUUUAUUAAAGUAGGUUGGGAAAAGACUUAUGCCUACAGGCCUAUUUCUUGAUUUUUGGGAAACCUCCACACCGACUUCCAUAGUGGCUGGAUGGUUUCACAUUCCCACAAGCAAUGUAUAGCCCCUUUUUGUGGGAGGAGAGAUUCUGAAGGUGAACAGAUAGGCCCUCAGACACCUCAGGGUCAUUGAGGCCUUGGGUCAGUUGGACAGAGACUGGCCAUAUUGCACCAACAAACACGGGAGUCCCGGGAGCUACUGAUGAGCAGCUUGGGUGGAACUUUGGGGUGACAUCCAGUGGGCAGCUAGCCCUAGGACACCUGGAGACAGCAGAAAGGCCAGGCUAUAGUGUAUCAUGAGACCAUUUGUACAAGAGUAGCCAUGUUCAGAGGAGGCUGAAAGUAGGUGUACUUCCUGGAUUGGAGAGGCCCGGAGAGAGCAAUGGUUCAGGAGCAGCACACCAGGACAACACAGAAGCAUCAUUCAGAGCUCAAGCACAGAUAGAGUCCUGCUUCUGU